rnacentral:rRNA from 1 species
GUACUCGAGUGGCGAACGGGUGAGUAACACGUGGGUGAUCUGCCCUGCACUUCGGGAUAAGCCUGGGAAACUGGGUCUAAUACCGGAUAGGAGCCAUUUUUAGUGUGAUGGUUGGAAAGUUUUUUCGGUGUAGGAUGAGCUCGCGGCCUAUCAGCUUGUUGGUGGGGUAAUGGCCUACCGAGGCGGCGACGGGUAGUCGGCCUGAGAGGGUGGACGGCCACAUUGGGACUGAGAUACGGCCCAGACUCCUACGGGAGGCAGCAGUGGGGAAUAUUGCACAAUGGGCGCAAGCCUGAUGCAGCGACGCCGCGUGGGGGAUGACGGCCUUCGGGUUGUAAACUCCUUUCGCUAGGGACGAAGCUUUUUGUGACGGUACCUAGAUAAGAAGCACCGGCUAACUACGUGCCAGCAGCCGCGGUAAUACGUAGGGUGCGAGCGUUGUCCGGAAUUACUGGGCGUAAAGGGCUCGUAGGUGGUUUGUCGCGUCGUCUGUGAAAUUCCGGGGCUUAACUCCGGGCGUGCAGGCGAUACGGGCAUAACUUGAGUACUGUAGGGGUAACUGGAAUUCCUGGUGUAGCGGUGAAAUGCGCAGAUAUCAGGAGGAACACCGAUGGCGAAGGCAGGUUACUGGGCAGUUACUGACGCUGAGGAGCGAAAGCAUGGGUAGCGAACAGGAUUAG